rnacentral:rRNA from 1 species
UACGAAGGGGGCUAGCGUUGUUCGGAAUUACUGGGCGUAAAGCGCGCGCAGGCGGUCUUCCAAGUCAGUGGUGAAAGCCUGGAGCUCAACUCCAGAACUGCCAUUGAAACUGUUAGACUUGAGUACGAGAGAGGUGAGUGGAAUUCCCAGUGUAGAGGUGAAAUUCGUAGAUAUUGGGAAGAACACCGGUGGCGAAGGCGGCGACCUGGUCCAUUACUGACGCUGAGGCGCGACAGCGUGGGGAGCAAACAGG